rnacentral:lncRNA from 1 species
UGACACUAUUCUUCAGCACCUUAUUUCUCCAGUUCCAUUUUAUUAGCAGUGUUUCUCUGUAUCUUGCUGGAAGCAUCUGCUCUUUCAUCAUCUAGUGUUUAUUUUACCUGAAAGGGGAAAACAUGGUACAUCCUCCUCUCCUGUAACCACUAUCAUGAUGUCUCACAAAUGGUGAUACCGUUAGUUUCUUUAGGGUUAUUUUCUUUAUGAUCCACUCUUUUCCCCCGAGGAUGGAGGAAGAAAGAAGAAGGAAAAAAGAUGGCAGUGAAUGGCAACUGAGAAGAAAUGAGCAUUGGAGAGAGGGAAAGAGUGGAAGUAAUUUUUUAUAAGAUGGAGAAAGGUGAAGGAAGGGACAGCGGAAAGAGAAAGAAAGAAUCCCAAGUAGGCUGCAUGCCCAGCACUGGAUCCCACAACUCUGAAAUCAC